rnacentral:rRNA from 1 species
UACGGAAGGCAACAGUGGGGAAUAUUGCACAAUGGGCGCAAGCCUGAUGCAGCCAUGCCGCGUGUAUGAAGAAGGCCUUCGGGUUGUAAAGUACUUUCAGUCGUGAGGAAGGUGUUAAGGUUAAUAACCUUAGCAAUUGACGUUAGCGACAGAAGAAGCACCGGCUAACUCCGUGCCAGCAGCCGCGGUAAUACGGAGGGUGCGAGCGUUAAUCGGAAUUACUGGGCGUAAAGGGCACGCAGGCGGUUAAUUAAGUUGGAUGUGAAAUCCCCGGGCUUAACCUGGGAAUGGCAUUCAAGACUGGUUAGCUAGAGUCUUGUAGAGGGGGUAGAAUUCCAUGUGUAGCGGUAAAAUGCGUAGAGAUGUGGAGGAAUACCGGUGGCGAAGGCGGCCCCUGGACAAAGACUGACGCUCAUGUGCGAAAGCGUGGGGAGCAAACAGGGAUUAGAUACC